GACGAACGCUGGCGGCGUGGAUUAGGCAUGCAAGUCGAACGGUAUCAUCCUUUCGGGGGUGAGAGUGGCGAACUGGUGAGUAACACGUAGGUUAUCUACCCUCAAGACGGGGACAACCCAGGGAAACUUGGGCUAAUACCGGAUGUGAGCAACUUUUAGUUGUUUGAAAGGUGGCGUAAGCUGUCGCUUGGGGAUGAGCCUGCGUCCUAUUAGUUAGUUGGUGAGGUAACGGCUCACCUAGGCAAUGAUAGGUAGGCGGCCUUAACGGGUGGUCGCCCACACUGGGAUUGAGAUACGGCCCAGACUCCUACGGGAGGCAGCAGUCGAGAAUAGUCUACAAUGGUCGGAAGACUGAUAGUGCGACGCCGCGUGAACGAUGAAUCCCUUCGGGGUGUAAAGUUCUUUUAUAUGUGAGCAGUGCUUCUUAUAUUAACAGUAUGGGGAGAGAGAUAUUAGCAUAUGAAUAAGCAACGGCUAACUCCGUGCCAGCAGCCGCGGUAAACUCGUCU
rnacentral:rRNA from 1 species